AUUGAACGCUGGCGGCAGGCUUAACACAUGCAAGUCGAGCGGUAACAUUUCAAAGCUUGCUUUGAAGAUGGCGAGCGGCGGACGGGUGAGUAAUGCUUGGGAAUAUGCCUUAUGGUGGGGGGACAACAUUUGGAAACGAAUGCUAAUACCGCAUAACAACUUUAAACAUAAGUUUUAAGUUUGAAAGAUGCAAUUGCAUCACUCAAAGAUGAUCCCGCGUUGUAUUAGCUAGUUGGUGAGGUAAAGGCUCACCAAGGCGAUGAUACAUAGCCGACCUGAGAGGGUGAUCGGCCACAUUGGGACUGAGACACGGCCCAA
rnacentral:rRNA from 1 species